AACGCACAUUGCGCCCCCCGGUAUUCCGGGGGGCAUGCCUGUUCGAGCGUCACAAAAAACCAUCAAAAACCCCCUUGUUAGCGCAGGCGGGGGGCUUGACGUUGGGUGAUUGGACCGCCGCGCUUGUACCCUUCGGUGGGCAUUUCUUCGCGGUCCCACCCCAAAUCCGUUGGCAGCGGCGCGGAGCCCCGAGCGUACCAGGACCGUCAAACAGUCGCCGCUCUGUGGGCCACCGUGCUCCGUUAUAGCCCCGAAACGACCCCAGCCGAAGCGCCCUAAGAAGCGCGACUAGAAUUGACCUCGGAUCAGGUAGGGAUACCCGCUGAACUUAA
rnacentral:misc_RNA from 1 species